AUACAGAGGGUGCGAGCGUUAAUCGGAAUUACUGGGCGUAAAGCGCGCGUAGGCGGCUUGGUCAGUCGGAUGUGAAAGCCCCGGGCUCAACCUGGGAAUGGCAUUCGAUACUGCCAGGCUAGAGGAUGGGAGAGGGAAGUGGAAUUUCCGGUGUAGCGGUGAAAUACGUAGAUAUCGGAAGGAACACCAGUGGCGAAGGCGACUUCCUGGCCCAAUACUGACGCUGAGGUGCGAAAGCGUGGGGAGCGAACAGGAUUAGAAACCCUAGUAGUCC
rnacentral:rRNA from 1 species